rnacentral:rRNA from 1 species
GAUGAACGCUAGCUACAGGCUUAACACAUGCAAGUCGAGGGGAAACGAUAUUGGAAGCUUGCUUCCGACAGGCGUCGACCGGCGCACGGGUGAGUAACGCGUAUCCAACCUGCCCACCACUUGGGGAUAACCUUGCGAAAGUAAGACUAAUACCCAAUGAUAUCUCUAGAAGACAUCUGAAGGAGAUUAAAGAUUUAUCGGUGAUGGAUGGGGAUGCGUCUGAUUAGCUUGUUGGCGGGGUAACGGCCCACCAAGGCGACGAUCAGUAGGGGUUCUGAGAGGAAGGUCCCCCACAUUGGAACUGAGACACGGUCCAAACUCCUACGGGAGGCAGCAGUGAGGAAUAUUGGUCAAUGGGCGAGAGCCUGAACCAGCCAAGUAGCGUGCAGGAUGACGGCCCUAUGGGUUGUAAACUGCUUUUAUAAGGGAAUAAAGUGAGUCCCGUGAGACUUUUUGCAUGUACCUUAUGAAUAAGGACCGGCUAAUUCCGUGCCAGCCGCCGCCGUAA